UACAAGUCCCAGGAGCCCGUGCGGGGACCAGCCCCCCAAACCAGAAGCCAGCGUCCCAGAGAUGCUGGGAGUUGUAGUCUCAGACUCGGGCGGGCAAGAACCUGGGCUGGCCUGCUGCGUCUCACCUGAAAAUUGCCCACUAUGGAGGUGCCCAAGGUGCAGAGGAGCCCCGUCCACAGGAUCAGCUGGCUGGGGGCCUGGAAUCUUCUGGAUCCUUCCAGAAACAGGCUGCUCUCCUGGCUCAGCUGAGGGGAAGAGGCCAUGGUCUUCCUCUGGGUGAGAUGAUAUUGCAGUUUCACUCUUAGGAAACUGCUUCUGCUUGGUGGUGGGAAUCGUUUUCCCCAGAAAAGGGAACCUGCCCGGGUAGGGGAUGAAGGCCUCUAGGGAUCUCUGUUUUCUCAGCUGUAAAAGCUGCCCAUGACACAGGCAUGAUGGUGCCUGUGUCAUGGGGUUCAGGAGUGAGUCCACGCAAGGACUUAAAACAGUGCCUUAGUGUUCACUGGCACAUAGUGAAUGCUGCAUAAAGGUAGGUAUUCACUGGCACAUAGUGAAUGCUGCAUAAAGGUAGGUAUUCACGUUGUGGGGUCCUCCAGGUUGUGUUCAGAACUUCUGCAGAGCGGGACUUCCCUGGUGGCACAGUGGUUAAGAAUCCACCUGCCAAUGCAGGGGACAGGGGUUUGAUCCCUGGUGUGGGAAGAUCCCACAUGCCGUGGAGCCACUAAGCCCGUGCACCACAACUACUGAGCCCGCGAGCCACAACUACUGAAGCCCACGCACCUAGAGCCCAUGCUCGGCAACAAGAGAAGCCACUGCAAUGAGAAGCCCGUGCACCACGUCGAAGCGUAGCCCCUGCUCGCUGCAACUAGAGAAAGCCCGUGCGCCGCAGCAAAGAUGCAAAGCAGCCGGAAAUAAAUAAAUAUAAAUAAAUGUAUAAGAUAAAGAUACAAAUAAAUAAAUAAAUUUAUUUUUUUAAAAAAAAAGAACUUCUGCAGAGCCUCCUGCAACCCUGAGAAGUUGUGCAGCUCUGUAGGGUAGGGAGCUCGAGCUCAGAGCAAGAGGCUUGCUGUGUCCCUGGGUCCUCCAGAAGGCAAAUGCUGCUGUGGCGUUAGCAAUGCAAGAGAUUUAUUGGGGGGACACCAGUGAAAGGUAGAGGGGAGGGAGAAGAGGAGUAGGCGGGGGAGUCGGUCUGCCACCUGUAAAAGGAAAGGGGGGAAGGAAGGUAUAUUUAGGAAGAGCUUGAGACCAUGCAACUCAGAGAGCUCAGCCCAACGGGGAGAUGCAGAGCAAAGAUGCACGGCGGACAAAUCCAUAGGAACAGAAAGUAGGUUGGUGGUUGCCAGACGGGUGGGGAGUGAUUGCUUAAUCACUUCCUUUCUGGAUGGUGAAAAUGUUUUGGAACUGGAUAGGGGUGAUGGUGGCACAAGAGUGCAGCGGUACCAAAUGCCACUGAAUUAUACACCUUAAAAUGGUUAAAGUGACGAAUUCUGUGUUACUUGAAUUUUAUCUCAAUUUAAAGAAAAAAAACAAACAAACAGAUUGCCAUUAGAUGAGUCCCACAUUGGGUGGAAGUGGUCAGGCCCCAGCACGGCCCCCACCCCUAUGCUAAGUCAUUGGUUGGGGGCUGCCCAAAAAGAAUCUCGAUCCAAAAAAAAUAACAGUUGCAGGUACUGCAGCUGGGAGCUGUCAGCCAAAUGCAGUCCUCACAGUUGAGUAAGUUCUUUAUUGAAGGGAUUCCAUUUUGGCUGCCAUACUUCCCAACGUCACUGUGGGCAGCUGGGGUCAGAGCUAAGGUUUGUCUGGUUCUAAAAUCUGGUUCUUCCUCCUACACAGUUGGUGGGAAUGUAAGUUCGUGCAGCCACUAUGGAGAACAGUAUGGAGGUUCCUUCAAAAACUAAAAAUAGAACUAUCAUAUGAUCCUGCAAUCCCACUCCUGGCUAUAUAUCUGGAGAAAAUUAAAUUUGAAAAGAUACAUGCAUCCCAAUGUUCAUAGCAGCACUAUUUACAAUAGCCAAGACAUGGAAGCAACCAAGAUGUUCAUCAACAGAUGAGUGGAUAAAGAAGAUGUGGUGCAUAUACACAAUGGAAUAUUACUCAGCCAUAAAAAAGAAUGAACUAAAGCCAUUUGCAGCAACAUGGAUGGAUGGACUUAGAGAAUAUCAUACUACGUAAGCCAGAGAAAGACAAAUAUCAUAUGAUAUCGCUUAUAUGUGGAAUCGAAAAAAAAUGAUACAAAUGAACUUAUUUAUACAACAGAAAUAGGCCCACAGAAAUAGAAACCAAACUUUUGGUUACAUAUACACACUACUGUUUAUAAAAUCGAUAACAAACAAGGACCUUACUGUAUAGCACAGGGGACUAUACUCAAUAUUUUAUAAUAACCUAAAAUGGAAAAUAAUCUGAAAAAGAUUAUAUAUGUGAAACUGAAUCACUUUGCUGUACACCUGAAACUAACACAACAUUGUAAAUCAAUUAUACUCCAAUAAAAAAAAUAAAAUAAAAUAAAAUCUGGUUCUUUCCAGUG